ACAACAAAAUAUGAAUCAUUAAAGGAGUAGUUCUUUCGAAAAUACACAUAUUUAAAAUGAUUUACAGUAGCCUAUAUUGCUAAUAGAGUUAUAUAAUCUAAUAUAAGUGUAAAUGUAUUGUGUUAUCUAGUAGGGGAGAGUGGGGUAAAGCGAGACAUCGGGUAAUGUGAGACACCCCCUGUAUCUAGGCAACGGAACACAUUUGUGGUCAUGUGACCAUUAUGUUUUUGAGCCCCUCAAAAUUCCCCUUGGCCAUGAAGAAGAAGACCUCAUGCUGCUGUGAAAAACCACCAUGCCAAGGCAAUACACCAGGAAGACAACCUGGGGUAAAACACCCCUUGAGGAGAUGGAGAGUGCAGCCGCUGAGGUCAAAAGGAAGGAAAGAAGUCUCUAAGAGCAGCUGCAAGGGAUAGAAAUAUUGAUAAGUCAAGCCUCCUAAGAUUUAUAAAGAAAAAAGAGAAAGGGGAAGUAAAAUCAGUAGCCUGGGGUGCAGUAGCUGAGGCAAAGAGAAUAUUCACAAAUGAGAUGGAGGAGGAGGUUGCCAAACACUUGAAACAACUCGCUGAACAGUUCCAUGGCCUUCCUCCAAUUAAGUGCCGUCAACUGGCAUUUGAAUAUGCAGAGAAAAAUUAUAUACCUGUCCCUGCCAAUUGGACAAAGACACAAUGUGCAGGUGAAGAUUGGUUUGGCAGCUUCCUAGCAUCUCUCUGUCCGAACUCCAGAGGCAACAUCCCUGGGAAGGGCUACAGCCUUCAAUAAAACUACAGUCGGGGAGUUCUUUGACAAUCUGGCUGUAGUGAUGGACAGGUCACAGCAUUAAUUCUUUAGUUGCUAAUGUUUUAUGGAGGCUUUACCUGUAAGAUUUGGUUUUGAUUCUGAUAAGGUUCUUCUCUUGCCUCUCAUCUUUAACAGGCAUAUAUUCCCUCCACACAUGAUUUAUAAUGUGGAUGAAACAGGCGUCUUUACAGUACAAAAGCCACAAAUUAUUUUUUCAAAAUAAUGUGCUUAACUGACCAAUCGCCAUGAUUCUUUUACUAGUCCAACAUUAGUUCUGGAAUGUGUGGUUGUCAAGCUAGCUGUCAGGAUUCUAACUGUUACAACAUGUGUUGUUAUGGUAGUUUCAGAGGGGAAAAAGUUAGUGGAUCAGUUUACCCCCAGCUGGUUCACUUUACCCUCUUGAAUUUUCUGGUCUGUCUCAGUUUACCCUUAAGCUGUGGUAAAGUGAGACACAAGACCACUUUUUUAAAAACAAUCAUAUUUUCACUGCCCUUCGUCCUGAAUACAUUCUGGUAAUUUCCAUUGCUAGGAAACAUCCUGAAUUAAUGGGAAAUGUGUAAAUUUUACUAAUAUAUCAUUUUAGCUCGCUUAGAGGGGAGCAAAUGUAAAAAACGUCUCACUUUACCCCACUCUCCCCUAUGCCUACACUUUCUAUUGCUCAAUCAUAGAUUUUAUAUAAUAAAUAAUUUUCCUCUUCUGGAUCAGACAUGUUUUCAACAGACAGGUACUGUUCUUUUGUUUAUAGUGUAAUGAUAUUCUGAGGCAAAUAAAAAAAAUCAUGGUAA